CCUACGGGCGGCAGCAGUGGGGGAUAUUGCACAAUGGGGGGAACCCUGAUGCAGCGACACCGCGUGGGUGAAGAAGCGCCUCGGCGCGUAAAGCCCUGUCAGCAGGGAAGAAAAUGACGGUACCUGAAGAAGAAGCCCCGGCUAACUACGUGCCAGCAGCCGCGGUAAUACGUAGGGGGCAAGCGUUAUCCGGAUUUACGGGGGGGAAAGGGAGCGCAGACGGCGAUGCAAGCCAGGAGUGAAAGCCCGGGGCCCAACCCCGGGACUGCUCUUGGAACUGCGUGGCUGGAGUGCAGGAGGGGCAGGCGGAAUUCCUGGUGUAGCGGUGAAAGGCGUAGAGAUCAGGAGGAACACCGGUGGCGAAGGCGGCCUGCUGGACUGCAACUGACGUUGAGGCCCGAAAGCGUGGGGAGCAAACAGGAUUAGAUACCCCGGUAGUC
rnacentral:rRNA from 1 species